AGCUACCGUCAUUAUCUUCACUAUUGAAAGAGCUUUACAACCCUAAGGCCUUCUUCACUCACGCGGCAUGGCUGCAUCAGAGUUUCCUCCAUUGUGCAAUAUUCCU
rnacentral:rRNA from 1 species